CUGGGAUUAGAUACCCCACUAUGCCCAACCGUAAACAAUUAACUCACACCAAUAAGCGCCAGGGAACUACGAGCAAUGCUUAAAACCCAAAGGAUUUGACGGUGUCCCACCCCCCUAGAGGAGCCUGUUCUAUAAUCGAUGAUCCCCGAUAUACCCCACCACUCCUUGCUCAUCAGUCUGUAUACCUCCGUCGAAAGCUUACCGUAUGAACGUCUACAGUAGGUUCAAGGACUCGCACAGCGAGUCAAUACGUCAGGUCAAGGUGCAACUUAAGGAGUGGAAAGUAAUUGGCUACAAUUUCUAAUUUAGAACAAACGAAAGACUAUGUGAAACCAUAGUAACGAAGGCGGAUUUAGUAGUAAAAAGAAAAUAGAGAGUC
rnacentral:rRNA from 1 species